CCUACGUGUGGCUGCAGUGGGGAAUAUUGCACAAUGGGGGAAACCCUGAUGCAGCGACGCCGCGUGAGUGAAGAAGUAAUUCGUUACGUAAAGCUCUAUCAGCAGGGAAGAAACACUGACCUUACGGUCAGCAGACGGUACCUGAGUAAGAAGCCCCGGCUAACUACGUGCCAGCAGCCGCGGUAAUAAGUAGGGGGCAAGCGUUAUCCGGAUUUACUGGGUGUAAAGGGGGCGUAGACGGGGCGCCAAGUCUGGAGGGAAAUGCCGCAGCUUAACUGCGGAACUGCUUUGGAAACUGGCGAACUAGAGUGCGGGAGGGGUAAGCGGAAUUCCUAGUGUAGCGGUGAAAUGCGUAGAUAUUAGGGGGAACACCGGUGGCGAAGGCGGCUUACUGGACCGUAACUGACGUUGAGGCUCGAAAGCGUGGGGAGCAAACAGGAUUAGAUACCCGUGUAGUC
rnacentral:rRNA from 1 species